AUCUUUGGAAAGGGUCGCCUCAUCUCCUUGAAGAAGAAAGCACGAGACUUCGACAUACGCGUACGUAAGCUGUUGGAAGAAUCGAAAAUGCGAUUCGGAUACAGCUGCGUUGCGAGACUGUAUGUCAGUAAAGAGGAAGGUGGACUAGGCCUGAAGUCUGUGGAGGAGGAGGUUGAACAUACCAUUGUUUACACAUGGUGUUACCUAUCCUCCAACCCAGACUUUAUAGUCCCCUACCAGCUAGCCGAAAGCCUACGAGCUAGCAGUAAAAGGUCACUAACCUCAGACUUUAAGUCCGUUUUAGCAGCCAAUGGACUAGAGGGAAGGGUGACUAGAACGAUAUUAACGUUCAUAGAAGUUGAUGGUCGUAGAUACGACUCUGCAACUAAAGCGGCACGGGCUAUCUCUACUCUAGUCCACCAGAGAUGGGCUCAGUUCCAGAUGUCUGAGUGGAAAAAGAGGAGAGUAGCCAGUAGAGUGCUGGAGGACCCAGAUGGUCGCUUCCAACUAAACCACAAGGAUUCGUUCCUAUGGUUAAGUAAGGGAUGGGUGUCAUCUGAAGUUCUCAGAAACGUGUGGGCUGUACAAGAAGGCUCACUACUCACUAGAGCAAGUGCCCCAGGACGUGCGGUUCAGGCUUCCGUCACGUGCCGAAUGGGGUGUCCAAUGAGGGAAACAGCAGAACAUAUAGUAUCAUGCUGUGAACAUUGGAGAACAAACAUCAUGAUCGAAAGACAUGAUGACGUCGCUAGAGUGAUAUAUUACUCGCUCAAGCGAAAGUAUGGAUUAUCCAAUGAAGUUACUAACACACAUGAACCCCACGUACUAGUAGGGCCAAAUGUGGAAAUUCAUUGGAACAAUCCUGUGCAUACAAGCGAAAGCUUGAAGCAUAAUCGCCCCGACAUAUUAGUCUGGGAUAGAGAGGCGAGACGCAUAUGGAUCAUAGAGAUUUCAGUCUCAUGGUACACGCGCAUCGCAAACCAAGAGAGAAGGAAGAUCUCCAAGUAUGGUGUCAACAGCACCAUGCCUGAAGACACGGACCUGAGUCAGUAUAGACCAGGACCGAAUCUCAAAGCGGUCCUUCAGAAAGACCGUCGAUGUAGGGUGGAUAUCGUUCCCAUUGUGCUUGGCACAUGUGGAGAAUGUAGCAAAACCCUAAGACAUUAUGUCCAAAGCCUAAGAUUGCCUGAUAAAAUUGAUUUUAUCAUAGAGAAACUCUCUAGAAGUGCGAUCUUGGGAACGAAUUGGCUAGUGAGAAGUCAUCUAGCCAGGAGCGAGGAGUAGGCCUAUAAGGACCUACGAUCACAAGAGAGCAUGGCAUUUAGAACCAUGGGAAGGGACAAGAGUCUCGUCCAGUGCAGAUUCGCGCCAUCUGCCAAUGCGUGUCAAAAGUGUCAGUACAGAGCGUAUUUGAGGGUCGGAUCUUCACAGUUAUGUGAAGAGGAAUGAAGGCUUCAUUGAAGUCUGAAACGGCCCAUAGUGGGAGGGAAGAGGAGGAAAGACAUAAAAACUACUGACGCGCAUGAAUGGAUUAGCGAUUCCAGGCUGCCACCUCCAAGAGAGGUGCUUCCCGGGCAACGUUACACGAGUGUGUAGCGGCCAAGAGCAGCUUUACCUUGGAUAGAAAUAUCCAUUGCGUACCGUGCGAAAGUAAUUUCGCAUAGGUAAUGAAAACGUCAACUUAAUAGUUGUCGCUGGUUUAACAUAAUGUGGCGAGACCUAUCACUUGUGAUGGAAACAUUAUGUUAACCAUGUACAUCCCAUCAAAGGGAAGCGCCUAGCGUAAACAGGGAUACAGCCCUAGCACUUGUGAAGCGUUAGCUUCACGAGGAAAGCUCGAACUUACAGGCUGACCGCACGCCACCGCCCGACAUGACUGAUCAUCAUGGAGGAUGAAAGUGGAUAGGACAGCAGUAAAUAGAGCACUCGAGUCCCUUUCGUAGCAGUGAAAAGACGCCAAGUUGUUAAUACCCGCCUCCAGCAGAGUCUUCGGUAAAACGGAGACAUAGGGUAUCGCAAGCGCGGCAACUUGACCACAAGGCUUGUUCUUGUGGCCACAGGGCGUGACAUGUUAGCUUGAAAGGGAGCGCAGGCAACUGCGUUAGAGAAACCUAUGACAGGUCAUGAAGUCCGGAGUAUUGGUGAGUGUCGAGUUAGACUCCGUUCCACAACACAGCGUAGGCACUUCAAUGUGCACUCUAGCAGCCGGCUUGCUCGGCUGCAGGGAUCUGUGGCCUGUGGAUGCACUCACCUUUCAUGCUAACCGACUUCAGGCAGGCCACACCCCUGUGGGUAAGUGGCUUGAGGUUGAGAGACCAAAAUGGAGAAUUCUCUUUGGGAGAACUGGAUUCUUCGAGGAUAAAAUGGACAUGCCUGAUCCUAUAUUCAAACAUCAGGUGUGCUCGCUCCUCUAGGUGAAAAGAUGGGUCGAAAGAAGGAUUGCUCACUACCUUCGUUUUCCAUGCUAGCGGAACGGCUCCAUCCAAUUAGCCACAUUAUC